rnacentral:lncRNA from 1 species
UGAGGAAUAAAUUUUCAUCUUCGUACUUACCUUUUCCUACUUCUCUCUUUUUUUUUAUUUUUUAUUUUUUUGUAAAAGCUGCUCAUCAAUUAAAAGGCAAGUUUAUCCUUAAUGCGUAAUGUUGGCAUACUUUUUUCAUGCUAAAAUUUAUAUUUUCAGUCGAUCAAAGGCCAUCCGAUAUAUGGACAGCUAAGGGCCGAGUAAUGGGUUCCCCACCCAU